rnacentral:rRNA from 1 species
GACGAACGCGGCGGCGUGCCUAAUACAUGCAAGUAGAACGCUGAAGGAGGAGCUUGCUUCUCCGGAUGAGUUGCGAACGGGUGAGUAACGCGUAGGUAACCUGCCUGGUAGCGGGGGAUAACUAUUGGAAACGAUAGCUAAUACCGCAUAACAGUAGAUGUUGCAUGACAUUUGCUUAAAAGGUGCAAUUGCAUCACUACCAGAUGGACCUGCGUUGUAUUAGCUAGUUGGUGGGGUAACGGCUCACCAAGGCGACGAUACAUAGCCGACCUGAGAGGGUGAUCGGCCACACUGGGACUGAGACACGGCCCAGACUCCUACGGGAGGCAGCAGUAGGGAAUCUUCGGCAAUGGACGGAAGUCUGACCGAGCAACGCCGCGUGAGUGAAGAAGGUUUUCGGAUCGUAAAGCUCUGUUGUAAGAGAAGAAACGAGUGUGAGAAGUGGAAAGUUUCAACAACU